rnacentral:rRNA from 1 species
UACGAAGGGGGCUAGCGUUGUUCGGAAUUACUGGGCGUAAAGCGCACGUAGGCGGAUUGUUAAGUGAGGGGUGAAAUCCCAGGGCUCAACCCUGGAACUGCCUCUCAUACUGGCAAUCUCGAGUUCGAGAGAGGUGAGUGGAAUUGCGAGUGUAGAGGUGAAAUUCGUAGAUAUUCGCAGGAACACCAGUGGCGAAGGCGGCUAUCUGGGCUGCAACUGACGCUGAGGCGCGAAGGCUAGGGGAGCGAACGGG